rnacentral:rRNA from 1 species
UCAGGAUGAACGCUGGCGGCGUGCCUAACACAUGCAAGUCGAGCGAUCUCUUCGGAGAAGAGCGGCGGACGGGUGAGUAACGCGUGGGUAACCUGCCCUAUACACACGGAUAACGUACCGAAAGGUACGCUAAUACGAGAUAAUAUGCUUUAGUCGCAUGGCUGAAGUAUCAAAGCUCCGGCGGUAUAGGAUGGACCCGCGUCUGAUUAGCUAGUUGGUAAGGUAAUGGCUUACCAAGGCGACGAUCAGUAGCCGACCUGAGAGGGUGAUCGGCCACAUUGGAACUGAGACACGGUCCAAACUCCUACGGGAGGCAGCAGUGGGGAAUAUUGCACGAUGGGCGAAAGCCUGAUGCAGCCAACGCCGCGUGAGCGAUGAAGGCCUUCGGGUCGUAAAGCUCUGUCCUCAAGGAAGAUAAUGACGGUACUCGAGGAGGAAGCCCCGGCUAACUACGUGCCAGCAGCUGC